rnacentral:rRNA from 1 species
GAUGAACGCUAGCGAUAGGCUUAACACAUGCAAGUCGAGGGGCAGCAUGGUCUUAGCUUGCUAAGACUGAUGGCGACCGGCGCACGGGUGCGUAACGCGUAUGCAACUUGCCUCACAGAGGGGGAUAACCCGUCGAAAGACUGACUAAUACCGCGUACACUCUAUUUUGGGCAUCCAAGGUAGAGGAAAUGAAGUUCGCUGUGAUAUAGGCAUGCGUCCCAUUAGCUCGUUGGUGAGGUAACGGCUCACCAAGGCGACGCUGGGGAGGGGAACUGAGAGGUGGACACCCCAGACUGGAACCGAGACACGGACCACAAUCCGACGGGAGGGAGCAGUGAGGAAUAUUGGGCGAUGGGGGAGAGCCUGAACCAGCCAAGUCGCGUGAAGGAUGACUGUGUUAUGGAUUGUAAACUUCUUUUGUAGAGGAAUAAAGAGGGGAACGUGUGCCCUAGUGAAUGUACCCUACGAAUAAGCAUCGGCUAACUCCGUG